ACCAGGAAAAGCUAAAAGACACACAGUGACUAGACAAAAAAGAGCAGCCUUUGGACUAGGUGCGCUGUUUCUUGGGUUUCUUGGAGCAGCAGGGAGCACUAUGGGCGCAGCGUCAAUAACGCUGACGGUACAGGCCCGGAAAUUAUUAUCUGGGAUAGUGCAGCAGCAGAAUAAUCUGCUGAGAGCAAUAGAGGCGCAACAACACUUGCUGCAACUCUCAGUUUGGGGCAUUAAACAGCUCCAAGCAAGAGUCCUUGCUAUAGAAAGAUACCUGAGGGACCAGCAAAUCCUAGGCCUAUGGGGCUGCUCAGGAAAAUCUGUGUGUUACACCAAUGUGCCUUGGA
rfam:Simian immunodeficiency virus isolate SIVcpzEK505, complete genome.